rnacentral:rRNA from 1 species
UACGGAGGGAGCUAGCGUUGUUCGGAAAUACUGGGCGUGAAGCGCACGUAGGCGGCGUUGUAAGUGUCGGGUGAAAUCCCACGGCUCACCCGUGGAACUGCCCGGCAUACUGCGAUGCUAGAGUGUGGUAGGGGAGAGCGGAACUCCUGGUGUAGCGGUGGAAUGCGCAGAUAUCAGGAGGAACACCUAUAGCGAAGGCAGCUUGCUGGGACGUUACUGACGCUAAGGCGCGAAAGCGUGGGGAGCGAACAGG